rnacentral:rRNA from 1 species
GACGAACGCUGGCGGCAUGCCUAACACAUGCAAGUCGAGCGAGUUGAUCCCUUCGGGGUGAAGCUAGCGGCGGACGGGUGAGUAACACGUGGGCAACCUGCCUCACAGAGGGGAAUAGCCUUCCGAAAGGAAGAUUAAUACCGCAUAAGAUUGUAGCUUCGCAUGAAGCAGCAAUUAAAGGAGCAAUCCGCUAUGAGAUGGGCCCGCGGCGCGUUAGCUAGUUGGUGAGGUAACGGCUCACCAAGGCGACGAUGAGUAGCCGACCUGAGAGGGUGAUCGGCCACAUUGGGACUGAGACACGGCCCAGACUCCUACGGGAGGCAGCAGUGGGGAAUAUUGCACAAUGGGGGAAACCCGGAUGCAGCAAUGCCGCGUGAGUGAUGACGGCCUUCGGGUUGUAAAGCUCUGUCUUCGGGGACGAUAAUGACGGUACCCGAGGAGGAAGCCACGGCUAACUACGUGCCAGCCGCCGCCGUAA